GGACGCAUGGCCCAGUGGUAAGGCGCUCGCCUUCGAUAUAGGUGGAGAACUCCCUCUUGUGAGCGAGAGAUCGUCGGUUCGACCCCGGCUGCGUUCA
rnacentral:tRNA from 1 species